UACGUAGGGCGCAAGCGUUAUCCGGAAUUAUUGGGCGUAAAGAGCUCGUAGGCGGUUUGUCGCGUCGAAUGUGAAAACCCGGGGCUCAACUCCGGGCCUGCAUUCGAUACGGGCAGACUAGAGUGCAGUAGGGGAGACUGGAAUUCCUGGUGUAGCGGUGAAAUGCGCAGAUAUCAGGAGGAACACCGAUGGCGAAGGCAGGUCUCUGGGCUGUAACUGACGCUGAGGAGCGAAAGCAUGGGGAGCGAACAGG
rnacentral:rRNA from 1 species